rnacentral:ncRNA from 1 species
GCCUAAGUAUAAGUUUUUGUACGGUGAAUCUGCGAAUGGCUCAUUAGAGGAACUGUAGUUUAUUGGAUGCUCUCUUUCAGAUGGAAAACCAUGAUAAUUCUAUGGCUCAUACAUGCGCGUAUGCAUCCGCUUUGGAGGAGCUGUGUUUAUUAUAUACAAAACCAGUCAAGUUUGUGAAGCAUUGGCGAUUCAUAGUAACCGAACGCAUCUGAGCCUCAAAUGUAUCUGUCCGUCCCUCCAGCUCUCCGCUUUCCAGGCUUCUCUGGUAAUUAAG